rnacentral:rRNA from 1 species
GAUGAACGCUGGCGGUAUGCCUAACACAUGCAAGUCGUACGAGAGUUUUUAACUCUAGUGGCGGACGGGUGAGUAACACGUGAGAAUUUGCCUUUAGGAGGGGGACAACAAUUGGAAACGAAUGCUAAUACCCCCAUAUGCUUUCGAGUGAAAUGGAUUUUAUCCGCCUAGAGAGAAGCUCGCGGCUGAUUAGCUUGUUGGUAAGGUAAGAGCUUACCAAGGCGACGAUCAGUAUCUGGUUUGAGAGGACGAUCAGACACACUGGAACUGAGACACGGUCCAGACUCCUACGGGAGGCAGCAGUGGGGAAUUUUCCGCAAUGGGCGAAAGCCUGACGGAGCAAUACCGCGUGAGGGAAGAAUGCCUAUGGGUUGUAAACCUCUUUUUCAGGGAGGAAUAAAAUGACGUGUACCUGAAGAAUAAGCAUCGGCUAACUCCGUG